GGCAGCGUGACGUAGUGGUUUGAGUGUUGAACUAUAACUCUGGAGCCCAGGGUUUGAUUCACAGCUCAGCCA